rnacentral:rRNA from 1 species
UACAGAGACUGCAAGCGUUAUUCGGAUUCACUGGGCGUAAAGGGUGCGCAGGCGGUCGGGUGUGUCAGAUGUGAAAUCCCGAGGCUCAACCUCGGAACUGCGUCUGAAACUACUCGACUAGAGUACUGGAGAGGGUAACGGAAUUCCUGGUGUAGCGGUGAAAUGCGCAGAUAUCAGGAGGAACACCGGUGGCGAAGGCGGGUCUCUGGGCCGAUACUGACGCUGAGGAGCGAAAGCGUGGGGAGCGAACAGG